UUAAAUCAAUUCUAACAUCGAAUAAUUAAUGGAUAUCGCAUAUUUGAAAUACGAAUGUACGAGAUUUUAUAAUACAAAUUUAGUAGUUAUAUUUAUAAUUUUAACGAAGUAAAAUUAGUAUUUUAUAUUUGUAUUGUCAUUAAAAAUAAUUAAAAUUGUGAAUUUUAUAUGAACUAAAAUUUUCUAUUCACAUAAAAUAUUAUUAUAAGAAUUAUUAUUAUAUUAUAAUGGCAUUUUCUCGUAUACCUCGCCGUGAAGGUUAUAUAGUUGCAAUACUUGGUGCUAUCACUGGUUAUUAUAUUUGGAAUCAACCAUUAAAACAAUUUGCUGAAAAAAAUUUCUCUAAUACAGAUUUAAAUAAAGAUAUGUAUCAUGAUCAAAAAUAAAUUUUUUAUACAUCCUAUGAUCAAAAUAAAUUUUAUGAUAACUGGUGUUCUAGGUUGCACUGCUAUUUAUAAAUUUUAUUUCAAACAACAUGUUAGUCUUUUUGCAAAAAAGCAAGCUGAAGAAGAAGCAAAUAUAUUAUAUGAAAAACUUAAAGAAAAAGAAGCAAAACUAUCAAAAAUAUAAUAUAAUUAAGUAUAAUUAAGUAUAUUAUAAAAAGUUUGUAGAUAAUAUUUAAUGUAUGUAUUUAAUAAAUAAUACAUUCAAUAAUUAUAUAUUAUACUUUUUUAUUAUUAUUAUCAUUAUUAUUACUAUUAUUAUUAUUUAUAUGUUCGCUUUAAUUUCUAUGAUCAUUUGCCAAUAUAUUUAUUAAGAAAUAUAUUGAAAUAAUAUUAAUCCUUGAAUUUGCCUCCAUAAAAGGGUAUAUAUCUAGCUACUACUUUCCAAUCUGUGA